CAAACGCUAUAUCUUUGAUAUAGAGGAAAGUCCAUGCUCACACGUUCUGAAAUGAACGUAGUGUUCGUGUUCAGGGAAAAAAUAACCUGAAGUAGAGAAAACUCUAACGGCGAAGUAAAGACCUAAGUCUUUAAGAUAUGGUCUUCUUCUGAAAAGUGCCGCAGUGACGAAUUUUUAGGAAACUAAAAAGUGAAACGUGGUAAACCCCGCGAGUGAGAAACCCAAAUUAUGGUAGGGGAGCUUUGAUUAGGGAAUAACAACCAAGUCAAGGACUGAGCAAUCAGUAGAUAAAUGUUUGUCGCCUAGUAAUAGGUACAGAACAUGGCUUAUAA
rnacentral:RNase_P_RNA from 1 species